UCGGGGAGGGAUAAGCGCUGAAAGCAUCUAAGCGCGAAGCCUGCCUCAAGAUAACGUAUCCCAUUCCGUCAAGGAAGGAAGACCCCUUAUAGACGAUAAGGUAGAUCGGUCUGGCGUGGAAGCGUCGUGAGGCGUGGAGCGGACGGAUACGAAUCGGUCGAGGCCUUCACCAA
rfam:Alicyclobacillus sp. TSBA-503 genome assembly, contig: Ga0105849_112